rnacentral:misc_RNA from 1 species
GUCAGUGCCCCUGUCAAACAUCAUUGAAGGCCUGUACCAGAGAAUACAACCCCGUAUGUGGGUCAGAUGGACAGACUUACAGCAAUAAAUGCAACGCCGAAGCUGCAAACGCAGAAAUUGAAUGUAACGGGACCUGUCCAUGUAGAAAACCUUGCAUCUGUCCAUUCAUACUAAAACCAGUUUGUGGUAAAGAUGGAGUGAGUUAUGACAACGAAUGUGGAGCAAGAUGCGCUUCUCAGGCAGUCGAGUGUGAGGGACAGUGUCCUUGCAAAAAAGCAUGUGCCUGCCCAUUGAUAUAUCUGCCUGUAUGUGGAAUGAACGGGAAAACAUACGACAAUGAAUGCUCGGCAGAAUGCGAUGGCACUGUAAAACAGUGUUCGGGGUCCUGUCCGUGCCCCGAGUCAAAACCAUGCCUUUGUCCUCGCAACCUUGACCCAGUUUGUGGAAGCGAUGGCGUCACUUAUGGGAACGAAUGUCAAGCUCAGUGCUCGAAGCAAUCCGUUGCCUGUAAAGGAGACUGUCCUUGUGCUAUUGUAUCUUAAACAUACCCGGUAUAAUUGUAUCCACAUAUAUACUUCAAACAGAGCCGUAAACUGAAUUAUGAAGAGAAAAAUGACUACAGCCAUCGUUGUAUCGCAUCACGUUAUAGGAUUAUGUCCAAUUUUGUUCCUCAUUAACCUAAGCUUUAUUGUUCUUUCAUCGUUAUUUGUUUUAUGUCUUCCAUAACAAUGUCUGUAUAAAGCAAUUCAAUACACUGUACUGCGCAUCGGCUAUCAUAUUACAUUGUAAAAUGCAAAACAGAAUAGAACAGAAUACUGUAGCUUUAUUAUGCACAAAUCUUUAUAAAUGAUGUUGGAACAAUAUUUAUUUUUCAUUUAGAACUUGUUUUCAAAACUCUUGUUUAAGUGAACAAGAUAUUUUCAAAUUUGGUUUAAAGAAGGGUAGUUAUUAAAAGAAGUGAAAAUGAAGAUCAUUAGUCUUGCACAUGAUACCAUUGCAAGUUUAAUCCCAAGAAGCAUAUUUGAAUACAAAAAUUGGCAAUGCAAAUAUCCUAUCAUGAGAUAGUCCAAAUACACUAUAAAACCAUUUGCUACAUUAGAAAUAACAGAGAAAUAUAAUUCUUAUCUGUAAAAUGGAGCAAGAAAAAGUUUGAAAUUCUGUUGACUUUGGUUGAAUUCUAUAUGCAAUCUAAUCAAAAGUCCUGUGUUGUUUUGGCGUGUUAGGAUCGUUUUAUUUUUCAUGUCCAUCAAUCACUCAUGCAGAAUGAUUUUAUGUCAUCCAUUGUGCAUUGGUUUAAGCAACAACGGCAAAAUAAAUCGUUUUUGAAUUC